GGACAUCAUUAUUGUAAGUUGCUUUGGACAAAAGCAUCUGCUAAAUGUAAUGUA
rfam:Astyanax mexicanus chromosome 12, whole genome shotgun sequence.